UCCUUUUUUUUUUUUUACAGCCAAAUAAAAAUGUUUAUAGCCAUAUAUGCCGUUCUCUUCUCUCUGGUCACAGAAGCUGUUCUGGGAGUGAAACUGGAGCAAAAAGAUCUCUCCAUGACUAAAGAGGAGGGCAAAAGUGUGUAUAUCAGCUGCAAUGUGACUGAAUUAUCCAGAGAUUAUGUCCACUGGUACCAAAAGAAGGAAAGUGAACCUCUAACAAGGAUCCUGUAUGUCAAAAGAGAUAGCCCACCUGUACCUGAUACUAACCAUCCUGAAGGAAAGGACUUCGAUGUGAGGAUACAGUCUGAUAAUUAUGAUCUGAAGAUAGCAAAACUGAAAAAAAGUCACUCGGCAGUUUAUUACUGUGCCAGCUGGGAGUACAGCAGUGACACAGUGACAGUAAAUAUUCACAGUGUGUGA